ACGCUACAUCUGGUUUCCUCGCACGUGUUUUUUUAUCGUAGUGUUUUGUUUAUAUCGAUGUUAUUUAACUUUUUGUGAUUUGCACGUUUUACUUUUUGUGAACAAAAGUGGAUCCUUUAUACUGUUACAAGAUGAAUAAAUUAGCCCAAAGUGCAGAAGCGGGCGAUGCCGACUCGGAUCAGGAAGGCGAUCCCGAACAGCUCCUGGAUGAAUGGCUCGGAGAACUUGAUAAUUUAACAGGGGUAAGUUGUUCCUUCUGCGGGAGUUAUAAGGCCCGAUCUACUUACUAUCACCUAAAAUGCGAAAGUAUAGCGAAUGCAUACGCAAAGAAUCCUAAAAAGGGAAAGAACAGCCUCCAUCAUCUGUAAGUAUGUCUUAUUCUACCGCAGGGGCUGUAUAUUAAAAACAUUUCGAAUGGGGGGAAUGUUUACGCUCUUCCCUAACGCUAGUAACGUAUAAUUCUAA